GGCUUCAGGUUUAAAGGCGCGAGCGCCACCCACGCAGGCACAAGGGCUCGUAGUCGUUUUAUUUUUAGCGUAAGGUUUUCCUCUUUAACAAGGAAGUAAAACAAAUAAGCUGUGCAAUAAAUAUUAAUCGUCCUUAUAUGUACUCGGGAACGUUCGUCCUUUAGGUUUUCUCCUGGCGCGUGGGCGCCGCCGAUCAUUUCGGGGCUUAUUUUGGUUCUAAAGCCCGGGGCAGCCAGGUCUCCCUGCCUGGCCUCGGCGGGGACGCGGGACCUGGGGCCCCGGACCGGGCCUAACCGCCCUGGCCGGCCCCCAACUGAUGGUGGCGGUCGGUCCUGACUGUCCUGAUGGCAGCGACCAGGCUGGACUCGGGCUGUGCAGGGGCGAGCGGAGCAGGGCGGGGUGACGCCCGGAGAGCGGCCUGGAGAGCGCGUGCUUCAGAAGGCGUGGGCACCCUGUCCCUUUUGCAGAUGGGGAUGCAGGCCCUGGUGGCGGUGGAGGGGGGAUGGGGGCAGGGACGCUGCCGGGCAGAGGAAGCUGGGUGAGUGUGCACUUGGUCCCCUUUGCUCCUCCCUGGGACUUUGGGCUCCAUAGGGCAGCCUCCGAGGCCCACGUGCACACUCGGUGAACCACAGUCCAGACACAGGCAGGGCGGCAGGCCAGGGAAGGAGAGGCCAGGUGUUGGCCUGGGGGUGCUAAGUGAACCCCCAAGGUCGCGGAGACAGUAGGGCAACAGCAAAACGAGCUCUGCGGUCCAGGGCGAGGGCCCGGAGUCCUCCCCAGGGGUGGGCUGCAGAGAAGCCCCUGUCCAGGCCCUGCUCACCUGCAAAGUGCUCCCGAGCUCCUGUGCCCCCAGCAGCAAUCCCAGCCCCGCUGACACCCAAGCUUGUCACCCGCUGGGUUUCUUGAGGUCUGAGGACCGUGGCUGAGGGUGCAUGGGCGCUGGGAUGGAGGGGGGAUGUCCUGUCCCAGUCUGUGCUUGUUAAAGAGGGCAAGGCUGCUUUUAUUCAAGCGGGGGGCUGCUAAAGCGAGAUGUUGGGUUAGGGGAGGCAGAUCCGGCUCAACUCCAGAUAGAAGAAGUAGGAAUUGACAGCCCAGGCGUAGGGUCGGGAGUGGAGAGAAAAUUACUAAGAGGAAGGGUCAGGGGCAAGGCGGGUUCUAGCUGCAUAGACAGGAUUUUUGCUGAAAAGGCAGGCAGUGUGGUCACAGACCGAGGGUGGGAGUUGAGGACUUUGAUCAGGGACCAAGAGUAGACGAUUUUCACUAAACCGACUCAGCAGGAUUCUUGCUAAAUCGGCCGAAACCGGCCAAGGUCAGGGACUGGUCACAGGGAGGGCUCAGAGGAGCCUGACUCGAGUGUGGUCAAAGGAGAGAGUCUUUGUCAUCUUUUAAGAGGCGAGAGUGACAUAUUAGUGAGAAACGGUGAAGGGAUCAUGCUCAGGCCAGCAGCCCCGAGUUUGAGAUGAGGACAGGCUGGGUCCAGGAACGGCUGCAGGAAUAGGGGGCACCUGAGCCUGCAGAAAGCGGGGAGCCCAGCCGCCAGAGCAGGCACCCCCAGGCAGACCUCAGUGUGUCCUGCCCUGUGGGAGUGGCAAGGCCAGACCAAGCUGGAUGUGAACCAGUCCCAGAACACCGCCUAGAAUUUGGAUUGUAAUUUGUUAUCGAUGAUAUUGCUGCUUGGUCUCUCUCCUCUUCCUCCCCACCCCCACCCAAGAUGGAGUCUGGCUUUGUCCCCCAGGCUGGAGUGCGAUGGCAUGAUCUCGGCUCACUGCAACCUCCGCCUCCUGGGUUCAAACAAUUCUCCUGCCUCAGCCUCCCAAAUAGCGGGGAUUACUGGUGCGUGCCACCACACCCAGCUAAUUUUUGUAUUUUUGGUAGAGACGGGUUUCAUCAUGUUGGCCAGGCUAGUCUCAAACUCCUGACGUCGUGAUCCACCCACCUCGACCUCCCGAAAUGCUUUGGGAUUACAGGUGUGAGCCGCCGCGCCCGGCCUCUAUAGCAUGGCCAUCGUGGCUACAUCAGCCCCGGCUAAUAGAGAUUUUAGCACACUCAGAUUCUAUUGGCUAAUAAGAUUUAAUUAUAAUUCUGGGGUAUUUAACAAUGUCGUUAUACAGUCUUCACUGUUGCAAAUGGAGAAUGAAAUCGGGUGCAUGUGACACUAAUGUGACCUGUUCAUGCUCUGUCACUUAAACGGAGUUAAGUAACAUAGCCUUGGGCAGGAAGACUCCUUCCCCACUUCUUUCCAGGAGCUCCUUACUCGAUUCUGGGGAACAGAAAGGCUUUCAGCAGCCAAGGGGAGUGACAACAGCCAGACAUGAGACACCUCCUAGAGCCCUUUGGUGUUACCCUUUCCGGUCCAUCAGCCACAGUGUCCACCCCAGGUAGCUGGGUCCUGAGUUCACCGUCUCAGGACAUUUUUCGACCUGGUUUGUCUGAAUUAUUAUUAUUAUUGAUCAUUGAGACAGGGUCUCAGUCCAUCGCCAAGACUGGAGUGCAGUGGUGUGAUCCUGGCUCACUCAGCCUCCCAGGCUCAGGUGAUCCUCCCAGCUCAGCCUCCUGCGUAGCUGGGACCACAGGCAGGCACCACCAUGCCUGGCUAAAUUUUUUGUAUUUUUUGUAGAGACCAGCUCUCGCUAUGUUGUCCAGGUUGGUCUCAAACUGCUGCCUCAGCCUCCCAAGGUGCUGGGAUUACAGGCAUGAGGGACCAAGCUCAGCAAUCUGAAUUAUUUAUGCAGAAUUUUUUUUUCUCUAGCUGGAAGAGCUGUUUAUAUGCACGUUUCUUUGGGGGCAACUCUUCUCCAUUGUCACAGAUUUUUUUUUUCCAAGCCAUUCCUGGGGGAUUCCUGGGAGCCAUGUGGGAGAGGCGUGAGGAAGUGAGACCUUCACCCCGAGACAGGUCCUGACGCACCCUCUGGUGCCUCUACUCAAGUGAGAAGUUUGGCUGCUGUAACUGACUGGGAAGCUUAAAAUAACAGACAAUCAUCUCUCACAUUUAUGGGGACUGGGAAGUCCAAGACCAAGUUGCCAUCUGGGGAGGGCCUGUUCCUCACAGCGCCUUCCAGCUCAGGCCUCGUUUAUAAGGGCACUCAUCCCUUCCACGACAACGGGUCCUCAUGACUUACUCACCUCGGAAAGCCCCCACCCCCAAGACCAUCACAUUGUGGGUGAGGAUUUCAACAUGAGAAUUUGGGGGCUGCAAACAAUUACACCAUGGCAGAGCAUAAGGUGCCUUCCCCACGUGCUCGGGUUGACCCAACGUCUCACGCUAGCAGCUACGUGGAAUAGUUAUUUUUUCUGGAGAACUCGGGGACCCCUCUGAUGUCUUGGAGCACCCACACAGGCCGUUCACUGUGCACGCGGUGAGGCUGUCCUCUGGGGAGUUCUGCUGUUGUAUGGGUUCUGUCUGUGUCAAUGUCCCAGCGGGAACGCAGGGCACACUAGCGUCAUCCCCAGAGGGCUUGGUAAGGGGACUGUUUGCAGAGACAUAGGCAGAGCGCUGGAAAACUACCAAAAAAGUGCAGUGUUCUGGACCUAAUAAUAGCACAGCUAUUCUCACCCUGGUCUGAAGGCAGGAGGGGAGGAGCAGUUAAUGGAUUCUGGAAGUCGGGUUGCACAGAGUCACCUUGAAAGAUGCCAUGACCUUCACCGAGGGCCAGACAGAGACUAAGAUGACCCCAUAGGAGAAUAAGACCUAGACCUCAUCCUCCUGCCUCCUGCCAGUCCCUGCCAGGGGUCGCCAAUGGCAAAACAGGACUGGAAGCCAGAGGCCUUGGAAGCCCAUGGAUGAAGUCCACAGGCCAGCCUCCCCGAGAGCAGCCUGGACGGUCCGCAGGAGACAUCUCCUGUCUUAGGCGUCCCACGCCGCGUGCUCCUGUUCAGCCCUGCCGAGGUGGAAGCUUGGAGUGGGUCACGGUGGAUGCAUUGACGCUGCAGACGUCAGCAAGUGCUACAAACCAGAGCUGGCCUUUAACUCAGACUGAUGGAGAAGGUGUUAAUAAUGCAGAUUAGACUUAAAAGUGUUGAAGCCAUUGCACUGUGAACAGCAAAAAAAUUGAAGAACUCUUCUGGCAUUUAAAAACAAUUACUCAGUUCAGCAGAGAAGUCACUGACAAACGAGAUCACACUGACUGCUUUGUCGUUUUGGUUUUGUCUUACUCAUUAAUGCAAAUAAGAACAUUCACUAGCAUCUGUGUUGGGCCUACCCUCCCUGGUCAAACACAGCUACAGUCUCCCUGCAGAUACGAGUUUUCCAGAAAUGAGCCGAUGUUUUCUGCGAGAAUCAGUUGGUCAUAUACAAUUUACAAAAAUGAGUACCGUAUACUAUAUUUGUGAACUGUACGCUGCAGAUGCCUUAUUUCACUGAAAUUUAUAAUACACUUAUCCAUGUAUAUGCAUGCAUGCAGUUUUGUUCCUGAGAUCCAGCUGUGAAAUGUUUACCAGCACAUAAAUUACCAGCACAUGCUCUUUUUUGUUAACCUACUAGGUAAAAUCUUCAUUUAUUACAUCAAAUUCUUGUAGUUUUUGUAUUGCAAUUAUGCAGAUAUUGAUUAUCGCAGUAUUACUGCAAUUAUACAGAUACCACAAUUUCAGAUAUUGAUCAGCGUGUUCAGUUGGUUUCUAAGGAGGUUUACUUACCUCAUGGUACACCUAGUUUGCAUAGUUUGAUUAUAUUUAACUCUUAUGCUAAUUGGGGGAAGUCAUUGAUUUAUUCGACAGAUGCGCCUGUGGUCUUCCCUGAGCACAUCCUGGCCAAGGACGCUGCCCCCAGGAGAUUUGAGAAGUCCUGUAAGGAUCAUGUCAGUAUUUUCAAAUACUUAUAGAAAAGCCAGAGGGAUUGACCCAGAAUUACCAAUAUAAGCUUGACCCUGAGAUAACAAUGCCAUUUUAUGUUUGCAUGCAUAAAACCAGUGCAAGAGGUUGAUGGCCAUUUUAUGUUUGCAUGCAUAAAACCAAUGCAAGAGGCUGAUGACUCCAGAUCCCUUAUAUAAGCCAAUAAAAAGUAGUUUCAUUUUUUAUUUCAUUUAAAAAA
rnacentral:lncRNA from 1 species